AGACCAACAAGUUAUUAUAGCAGUUUAAAUACGAGCGAUCGGUUUUUGGAAGACGAUCAUUUUUUUAGCACAACACCGCUAAGCACCAACUCAUCCAUCCUUUCUCCUUUUCUUCUUUUCAUGCCGCCGCCAUGGGAAGCGCCCACAAAUGUGUCAUUUCACACUGGCAGCAGGCUCGCAGAGCUUGCUGUGGUGCUUGUUCUUCUUCUCUGACUUUGCUGUUUCACCGUGUUUAGAUAACGUGCCAUCCGCAAACAGUCGCACUCAUUUUCGUGCUUUAGCUUUGUACUCACGCGCACACACACGUGCACACAUGCACACACACACACGUGUGUGUUAGUUUAGUCUGUUUCAACCUCUCUUCGUGUGGAAACACACAUAUCUAGAACUAUUCUGUACUACGACGACACGCUCUACGUUAUACCACAGGCACGCAUGGCUUUUGCCCUCAUGCCGACAGCAGUGGCAGCUAAAAACAUCGUGCUAGCAUCAGAAAAACAUGAUUUUAUUCUCAACGGGUCUAAACUUCGACUGCAGGUUGAGAAGGGCAACAUUUUAAUGACGCCGCUUGAGUUUUAUAAGUC